AGGAUGAACGCUGGCGGCGUGCCUAACACAUGCAAGUCGAACGCUCUCCAUUCGGUAGCAAUACCGAUGAAGAGGGAGUGGCGAACGGGUGAGUACCACGUGAGCAACCUGCCCCGAAGAUUGGGACAACACCGGGAAACCGGUGCUAAUACCGGAUAUCCCUAUCGGAUCGCAUGAUCUGAUAAGGAAAUGGAUUCCGCUUCGGGAGGGGCUCGCGGCCUAUCAGCUAGUUGGUGAGGUAAUAGCUCACCAAGGCAUCGACGGGUAGCUGGUCUGAGAGGACGAUCAGCCACACUGGGACUGAGACACGGCCCAGACUCCUACGGGAGGCAGCAGUGGGGAAUUUUCCGCAAUGGGCGCAAGCCUGACGGAGCAACGCCGCGUGCAGGAAGACGGUUUCGGAUCGUAAACUGCUUUUCUCGGGGACGAGAACGGACGGUACCCGAGGAAUCGAGCCCCGGCUAACUACGUGCCAGCAGCCGC
rnacentral:rRNA from 1 species